CGCUCCAGCGGGCCGAGCGCGUGCGGCCGCCGAGCACAUGGGCCCGCGGGCCGGGCGGACUCCAGGCGGCCGGGACCCGGAGGACCAGCGAGGGGCCGCGAGCGAGGAUGGGCCCCGGCACGCGCCCGGAGCCCCCUGAGUGGAUUUCCACGCCGAAAGGCUGUUGGCGGCCCCGGUGACCUGCGGAGACGCGGUUGGAUCCACCUUCCAGCCUUGAUCUUUUGACCAGAAAGGAAUUAAAAAGAUGGUCCCUCGUGAUGGCUGCGCCUGUCAGCCGCGUGGAGCUUCCUUGAAGGAUUUUCUGAGCCGUGUGGAUGUACAGUGAUUCUCGGCGCCUGAGGAGUAACGCUGGUGGAAGCGCUCUCUCCAGUGACGCACACCCGCCCCAUUUCUGGAUGCUAAAGGUGGUUUUAGGAAGGCCCUGGCUGAGUGCCUCGCGGAUUCCUGCAGCCUGGACGCCCCUGGUGGACGGAGGACUGAAGCUUCCUGCCCUUGCUGCCGACAAGGAGUGUUCGGCUGGGGCUCUGCCAGCUCCCUUGGGGGUUCCCUGUGAAACCAUCCUGUUCCACCUGGGAUUUAGGUGCCUUUAAUUUGGAAAAAAAAAAAAAAUACGUAUCCAUUCAAUACUCCAGAGGGACUUGAAAACUGUUCUUCCCUGAACUAAAGCUGGAAUAUCAAGGGAUGUGAAGAAUCAAGGCCGGGCUGAGGUUUCAGAGGCGUUCCGAGCUCCUGUGGAGACUUGCUUCUCUCCAGCCUUGGGCUCUCUGCACUCUUGGACAUCUCAGGGCCCAGAAGAAAAAGAAGAAAGCCAACCAGUUCUGGGAGCAGCCUGGGUGAAGAGAGAUAAAGAAACAAAAGUUCAAGGAGGUGAGCAGGGCACUUAAGUACCAAAUGGAAGUUUUAUGCCAGAUCCCAGUUUCAACCACUGAAAGCCAGUUCCUUUCUCCAUCCUUAAUAUCUCUUCAUUUGAGCAUCAUCUCCCGGCAGGGUCACCGUAACUGUUCUCUCUUUGGUCCCUCUGCCUCCAUUUUGGACACUGCAGAUAUCAUGAAAAGAAGCCCACACUAGCCUACUGGAGGCCUCCUGGAGAGAAAGACCCAACCACCAGCCAACAGCAACCACCAGGUACCUGAGUGAGACCAUCUGGGACCAGCCAGCCCCCAGAUGGCUCAUCUGGGGAGAAGCAAACUGUGUAUUGUGAGCAGACCUAUCGAGAAAUCCAUGUGGUUAAGUAACUGAUGGCUCUGAUCCAUAGCCAGCAAAGACCUGAGACCUGCCAAUAGCCAGAUGGAAGCAUCUGUGGAAAGAGAGCAGGGGAGCCAGGAGACCUGAGUUGCUGGAUCGUAAUUCUGCUAAUCCCAGGGGAUUCCUCUCCAGAGGCUUGUGACACUGCUUCAGGAAGACUUCCCCAACACCUGAAGAAUUUCUGUGUUCCUUUUCCCAGUCUGGGAUGUCUACUUACCAUAUUGCCAGCUUCUGGACCUGUUGUAUCUGGGAUGCAGGCGGAACC